rnacentral:rRNA from 1 species
UACGGGGGGAGCAAGCGUUACUCGGAAUUAUUGGGCGUAAAGGGCGCGUAGGCGAUUUGGUAAGUCUUGUGUGAAAGCCCAUGGCCUAACCAUGGAAGUGCACAAGAAACUACUGAAUUUGAGUUCAGGAGAGGAAGGCAGAAUUCCCGGUGUAGCGGUGAAAUGCGUAGAUAUCGGGAGGAAUACCAGUGGCGAAGGCGGCCUUCUGGACUGACACUGACGCUGAGGCGCGAAAGCUAGGGGAGCAAACGGG